GCUGGCGUGGCGGAACUGGCAGACGCACAGGACUUAAAAUCCUGCGGGGCUAAUCCCCCGUACGGGUUCGAUUCCCGUUGCCAGCA
rnacentral:tRNA from 1 species